GCUAGGCGCGGUGGUGCAUGCCUGUAAUCCCAGCGGCUCAGGAGGCUGAGGCAGGAGGAUCAAGAGUUCAAAGCCAGCCUCAGCAACAGUGAGGCCCUAAGCAACUCAGUAAGACCCUGUCUCUA
rnacentral:sRNA from 1 species